rnacentral:rRNA from 1 species
UACAGAGGUCUCAAGCGUUGUUCGGAUUUAUUGGGCGUAAAGGGUGCGCAGGCUGUAUGGUAAGUUUGGUGUGAAAUCCUGGAGCUCAACUCCAGAAUUGCACUGAAUACUGCCGUGCUAGAGGACUGGAGAGGAGAUUGGAAUUCACGGUGUAGCAGUGAAAUGCGUAGAUAUCGUGAGGAAGACCAGUGGCGAAGGCGAAUCUCUGGACAGUUCCUGACGCUCAUGCACGAAGGCCAGGGGAGCAAACGGG